GCCUGGGUGGCUCAGUCGGUUAAGCGUCUGACUUCGACUCAGGUCAUGAUCUCACCAUUCGUGAGUUCGAGCCCCGUGUUAGGCU
rnacentral:tRNA from 1 species